AUUGAACGCUGGCGGCAGGCCUAACACAUGCAAGUCGAACGAGUGGCGGACGGGUGAGUAAUGUCUGGGAAACUGCCUGAUGGAGGGGGAUACCUCCUGAAACCGUUAGCUAAUACCGCAUACCAUCGAUGGUCCCCAGAUGGGAUUAGCUAGUAGGUGGGGGAAAGGCUCACCUAGGCGACGAUCCCUAGCUGGUCUGAGAGGAUGACCAGCCACACUGGAACUGAGACACGGUCCAGACUCCUACGGGAGGCAGCAGGGGGGAAUAUUGCACAAUGGGCGCAAGCCUGAUGCAGCCAUGCCGCGUGUAUGAAGAAGGCCUUCGGGUUGUAAAGUACUUUCAGCGGGGAGGCGUUACCCGCAGAAGAAGCACCGGCUAACUCCGUGCCAGCAGCCGCGGUAAUAC
rnacentral:rRNA from 1 species